AGGAUAUGUGGAGUCUCUAUGUGGCUAGUGGGUUUACCUCUCGCAUUUAACUUCCUCGACCUAGGCUGGGACUUCAAGAUACCCAAGUUCAUGUUAGCGUCUGCAGCAUUCUUCUUCGCGGGGUGGUACGCGGGCGGUAUCAUUUCUUGGGCGCCGACAAGUGAGACAUCUGGAGUACUCCACUGCUCACAAGAGACUGUUCUUCACCACUAUUGGAGCUUCAGGCAGGCCUAUUACUAAUAGUUUCAGACAGGGCGAGGUGGUGUUUGAUGAUUCUGUCAACGAAACUUCCAGGGUGUAUUUAAAAGUAGUAAACAAGGAGUACGUACUCCAGCUGUAACAAGGGAGAGCUGCAUAACGAGGACUUGUUGUGGAAACUUGUUGCUAGAAAAAGACUUUGAUAAUAUACCUUGGGAUCAGAGAA